UACGUAGGUCCCAAGCGUUGUCCGGAUUUAUUGGGCGUAAAGCGAGCGCAGGUGGUUUAUUAAGUCUGGUGUAAAAGGCAGUGGCUCAACCAUUGUAUGCAUUGAAAACUGGUAGACUUGAGUGCAGGAGAGGAGAGUGGAAUUCCAUGUGUAGCGGUGAAAUGCGUAGAUAUAUGGAGGAACACCGGUGGCGAAAGCGGCUCUCUGGCCUGUAACUGACACUGAGGCUCGAAAGCGUGGGGAGCAAACAGG
rnacentral:rRNA from 1 species